UAGUGGCGAACGGGUGAGUAACACGUGGGCAAUCUGCCCUGCACUCUGGGACAAGCCCUGGAAACGGGGUCUAAUACCGGAUAAUACCUGCCGAGGCAUCUCGGUGGGUUGAAAGCUCCGGCGGUGCAGGAUGAGCCCGCGGCCUAUCAGCUUGUUGGUGGGGUGAUGGCCUACCAAGGCGACGACGGGUAGCCGGCCUGAGAGGGCGACCGGCCACACUGGGACUGAGACACGGCCCAGACUCCUACGGGAGGCAGCAGUGGGGAAUAUUGCACAAUGGGCGAAAGCCUGAUGCAGCGACGCCGCGUGAGGGAUGACGGCCUUCGGGUUGUAAACCUCUUUCAGCAGGGAAGAAGCGAAAGUGACGGUACCUGCAGAAGAAGCGCCGGCUAACUACGUGCCAGCAGCCGCGGUAAUACGUAGGGCGCAAGCGUUGUCCGGAAUUAUUGGGCGUAAAGAGCUCGUAGGCGGCUUGUUGCGUCGGAUGUGAAAGCCCGGGGCUUAACCCCGGGUCUGCAUUCGAUACGGGCAGGCUAGAGUUCGGUAGGGGAGAUCGGAAUUCCU
rnacentral:rRNA from 1 species